rnacentral:rRNA from 1 species
UGCGACUCUUCGGAGGCGUUACACAGGUGCUGCAUGGCCGUCGUCAGCUCGUGUCGUGAGAUGUUUGGUUAAGUCCAGCAACGAGCGCAACCCCUGUUGCCAGUUACCAGCACGUGAAGGUGGGGACUCUGGCGAGACUGCCCAGAUCAACUGGGAGGAAGGUGGGGACGACGUCAGGUCAGUAUGGCCCUUAUGCCCAGGGCUGCACACGUACUACAAUGCCCAGUACAGAGGGGGCCGAAGCCGCGAGGCGGAGGAAAUCCUAAAAACUGGGCCCAGUUCGGACUGUAGGCUGCAACCCGCCUACACGAAGCCGGAAUCGCUAGUAAUGGCGCAUCAGCUACGGCGCCGUGAAUACGUUCCCGGGUCUUGUACACACCGCCCGUCACAUCAUGGAAGCCGGUCGCACCCGAAGUAUCUGAAGCCAACCGCAAGGAGGCAGGGUCCUAAGGUGAGACUGGUAACUGGGAUGAAGUCGUAACAAGGUAGCCGUAGGGGAACCUGCGGCUGGAUCAC